UCCGUAGGUGAACCUGCGGAAGGAUCAUUACCACACCAGAUCCAAGAUCUGUUUCUACACGUGAACCGGGGAGUGUAGGUGGCCUUGUGAAGCCACUGAAGACAGCAGAGGGAGAGACCUUUGUUGUUUUCAGUUGGUGUUGCUUGGCUAGACUCCCCAACCCCCUCUUUUUACACCAUCACUUGAUUGACGGUGCCUUCUCUUGGAAGGUAGCCUGUGUAACUGAAACCAAGCUCUUGCCCUGCACGGCCGGAAGGCCUGUGGAGCAAGGUGCUACUCCAUAAGAGGAUGUAUCAAACAACCUUCAGCAAUGGAUGUCUAGGUUCCCACAACGAUGAAGAACGCAGCGAAAUGCGAUGCGUAAUGCGAAUUGCAAGAUCUCGUGAAUCAUUAAAAUUUUGAACGCACAUUGCGCUCCCUGGAUCUUUCCAGGGAGCAUGCUUGUCUGAGUGUCAGUGAAUCUCGCUCGGUGCUUGACUUGGGGAACACCAAGUGUGGCAGCCGGAAUCUGUUCCUGGGUUGGUAUUUGGCCUCCCCUUGAACCAAAUCAAGUCAGCAAACGCUGCUGGCUGCUUGCGAGCUUGUCAGUUUUUUCUCCUCUCCCUUUGGGAACAAGAGGAUGGACUGCGUCAUGCCGUGGGAUGUUGUGUCCUCGCGCUGGAAAGCCCUCGUCUUUUGCAAAUGGUGCAAGCCAGGACGAAGACUGGGGUGGCGUGGAGAUAAUCCCUUGUAGGUGCGAUGCAACUGUCCCCUGUUUUCAUGAGAUUGGAAAGAACCCAAGCCUGCUGAAGCGUCGUUUGGAUGGUGCAAUUAUUCCCAUCCUCCGAACCACCGUUCCUGAUCUCAGCUCAAGCAAGGAGACCCGCUGAAUUUAAGCAUAUCAAUAAGCGGAGG
rnacentral:rRNA from 1 species